rnacentral:rRNA from 1 species
UGUCGGCGUGCUUAACACAUGCAAGUCGAACGGAAAGGCCCUGCUUUUGUGGGGUGCUCGAGUGGCGAACGGGUGAGUAACACGUGAGUAACCUGCCCUUGACUUUGGGAUAACUUCAGGAAACUGGGGCUAAUACCGGAUAGGAGCUCCUGCUGCAUGGUGGGGGUUGGAAAGUUUCGGCGGUUGGGGAUGGACUCGCGGCUUAUCAGCUUGUUGGUGGGGUAGUGGCUUACCAAGGCUUUGACGGGUAGCCGGCCUGAGAGGGUGACCGGCCACAUUGGGACUGAGAUACGGCCCAGACUCCUACGGGAGGCAGCAGUGGGGAAUAUUGCACAAUGGGCGGAAGCCUGAUGCAGCAACGCCGCGUGCGGGAUGACGGCCUUCGGGUUGUAAACCGCUUUCGCCUGUGACGAAGCGUGAGUGACGGUAAUGGGUAAAGAAGCACCGGCUAACUACGUGCCAGCAGCCGCGGUGAUACGUAGGGUGCGAGCGUUGUCCGGAUUUAUUGGGCGUAAAGGGCUCGUAGGUGGUUGAUCGCGUCGGAAGUGUAAUCUUGGGGCUUAACCCUGAGCGUGCUUUCGAUACGGGUUGACUUGAGGAAGGUAGGGGAGAAUGGAAUUCCUGGUGGAGCGGUGGAAUGCGCAGAUAUCAGGAGGAACACCAGUGGCGAAGGCGGUUCUCUGGGCCUUUCCUGACGCUGAGGAGCGAAAGCGUGGGGAGCGAACAGGCUUAGAUACCCUGGUAGUCCACGCUGUAAACGGUGGGUACUAGGUGUGGGGUCCAUUCCACGGGUUCCGUGCCGUAGCUAACGCUUUAAGUACCCCGCCUGGGGAGUACGGCCGCAAGGCUAAAACUCAAAGGAAUUGACGGGGCCCCGCACAAGCGGCGGAGCAUGCGGAUUAAUUCGAUGCAACGCGUAGAACCUUACCUGGGUUUGACAUGGAUCGGGAGUGCUCAGAGAUGGGUGUGCCUCUUUUGGGGUCGGUUCACAGGUGGUGCAUGGCUGUCGUCAGCUCGUGUCGUGAGAUGUUGGGUUAAGUCCCGCAACGAGCGCAACCCUUGUUCACUGUUGCCAGCACGUUAUGGUGGGGACUCAGUGGAGACCGCCGGGGUCAACUCGGAGGAAGGUGGGGAUGACGUCAAGUCAUCAUGCCCCUUAUGUCCAGGGCUUCACGCAUGCUACAAUGGCUGGUACAGAGAGUGGCGAGCCUGUGAGGGUGAGCGAAUCUCGGAAAGCCGGUCUCAGUUCGGAUUGGGGUCUGCAACUCGACCUCAUGAAGUCGGAGUCGCUAGUAAUCGCAGAUCAGCAACGCUGCGGUGAAUACGUUCCCGGGGCUUGUACACACCGCCCGUCAAGUCAUGAAAGUUGGUAACACCCGAAGCCGGUGGCCUAACCGUUGUGGGGGAGCCGUCGAAGGUGGGACUGGUGAUU